GGACCCAUAACUCAGCUUGGUCAGAGUGGCUGGCUCUUAACCAGCAAGUCGAGGGUUCAAAUCCCUCUGGGUCCG
rnacentral:tRNA from 1 species